CUCACAGCGAUUAGCGCACGUGAGCUGUUGGAUCUUGCUUGGCAUGGGAUCUCGGCCGUCCGUUUUUCUUCAUUGAGACAUAUAAAAAGAAGAGAACCUAGCCGCCGGCUCGUCGUCGCGCCUCGCUUCCUCCUCCCCAAUCGGCUGGCCUCCUCCUCUCCCAGUCGCACCUCAUCCUGUCGCCGCUGCCGCCCCCACCCCCAAGUCGAUCCCAACCGCGCCUCCUCCCGUCUCCAGCUGGUCGAUUCCGGCCGCAUCCUCUGCCACCAGCGACCAUUGCGAGCUCGUCUCACCCUCUGGCCCAUGGGAAGAGCACGAGAGGGUGUGACAUGGAGAAGGGGGGCGCACAGGAUGGCGACCAUGGAGGAGGCCGCGCGGGGUGGCCGAGCAGCAGCCGUUGGCGGCGGCCUCCUCUGCCCCGAGCGGGGAGGUGGUGUGGCCUUCAUCGUCGAUUAGCAGCACCACGCUCAUCUUCCGUUCCUGGUUAUACUGCAUCCACAUCUCGUGAGGCCAUGGAACAAGCUGGGCACUCCGUGAGGAGACAACUUUCAUGGGCAAAUAAGGACAGGAAUCAGAGGCUGGCAGCAUGGGGUUAGAUGCCACAACACACAAAAAGCAAUUCGAACAGCUUGUAUUUCAUCGGAACAGCAGAUCAACAUGGUAAGUUUGUCUUGUUUCUAUCUGUUCAACUCAUUAGGAAGCCCUAUAAUCCUAUACAGAGUACUAAAAAGAGAUUAUACUAAGUAUAUGACACCCAAAGAAUUGCUCUCUCUAGUGAUGGGGACAACUAAGCCUGAGAAAGAAGUAGCUCUAGGCAAUGAGCGUUGGUCCUGCUUCAUUAAGUAGAAUUAAUAAUUCAGAAAUACUUCGUACUGAUACCGCUGCAGCGUCGCUAUCUUCAGCAGCGACAAAUUAGAAUUGAGAAGGGAUUUUUGAAGAUAUAUGUAUAUAAAUAUGUUCUUCGGUUCUGGAGCGAUUCACAAUGAUUUGAUGCUCCGGUUCUAAUUUUAGUUCAUAUUUUGGACAGUAGAAUAUAUAGCACCAGCAUUGUAUUUGUGGAGGUUCUAAGGCCAGAUUCAUAUUUCCAAUAGUCCUAGGCAUAUAUCCUUUAUGGGACAAGAUUAGUCUCAAGUUUUUAUUCCACGCAUUGUUAGGCUUUGUAGCCAUAAUUUGCUGUGAAAGAUCAAAUCAGCUGGAUGGUGCAAUAUUAUGACUCAUAGCGAUUUGAGUUAUUGCCCGUCAGAUCUCUCCUCAAAACCGAUGCUAGGUAUUUCUGGAUUCCCAGUUUUGAAGUGCUCGGGAGUUUGUUACAUUGCUCAAGACCCAUAUACUUCAAACUGAUGCUAGGUAUUGUUUUUUGUACUGCCUGUUCUGAAUCAUCUCCACCUCUGUUCUGCUCACCGGUCCUCUCCAUUUCACAAUAUAUUGUCAAAGUCAAUAUGCAGUUUUGCUAUGUAGCCUCUCUGAUCAGCAAGAUAAUUUAAGGCAUUAUUGUUAGAGAAACUGUCUAAACUGAAAUGAGCAUAGUUUCUCUCAACCAUUUCCUAUUUAGACCAGUGUACAAAGAGAGACCAAAGUUUGACACCGGAAAAGUUAAUGCUGAUUAAUCAGACCAUAUUCUCAGUUAAAUGAAAUACCAUGAAUUUCUGCUUUACUCUGAAAUUUAACAAAUGUAAAAGAGAAAGUUCCUGAGAUAUCAUGGGCUAUGUGAUGCUUGAAACAAAAUAAUAGUUGUGUGCUGUAAUCUAAAACAUUUUUUUGCAGGGAUAUAUCUGAAACAUUUUCUUGCAGGAACUUUUGUACAUAUACAUAUCUACUUCUUGAGUGUGCCCCAUAAAGAAAGCCUCAAUGCUUGUGAUCCCUUUACCUUCUUACUUUGUUGUUGCUCUUCCCAGAUUAUUUCCAUAAAAACACACUGUUUCUUAUAUUAUACCGCUAUUACAGGAUGGUAUGUUCCGCUGCAUUAUUCAAGUUUGGAGAUUCACGCCUGACUAGCCAUAGUGGUUGGUCUCUUGUAGUGAGUGCAGGCAAAUGUCUAGACCUGCUACUUGUUCAUCUACAAGACACCUGCACGGAGGCAACUCUGGAGUAGCGUCUCGCCUACAUAACAAGUUGGAGAAAGUUAAAAGACACUCUCAGAUGAGAAUGAUCAUGCUUAUGAUCUUUUGUAAUAUAACUACUGUUGGAUUGAAAAUAGGAUAUUAGUUACAACUAUGAAUUUCCUUUAAGGAAUUUACACCUGGUCCUCACUUUA